rnacentral:rRNA from 1 species
GUAGGUGGCAAGCGUUGUCCGGGAAUUAUUGGGGCGUAAAGCGCGCGCAGGCGGUUCUUUAAGUCUGAUGUGAAAGCCCACGGGCUCAACCGUGGAGGGUCAUUGGAAACUGGAGAACUCGAGUACAGAAGAGGAAAGCGGAAUUCCACGUGUAGCGGUGAAAUGCGUAGAGAUGUGGAGGAACACCAGUGGCGAAGGCGGCUUUCUGGUCUGUAACUGACGCUGAGGCGCGAAAGCGUGGGGAGCAAACAGGAUUAGAUACCCUGGUAGUCCACGCCGUAAACGAUGAGUGCUAAGUGUUAGGGGGUUUCCGCCCCUUAGUGCUGCAGCUAACGCAUUAAGCACUCCGCCUGGGGAGUACGGCCGCAAAGGCUGA